rnacentral:lncRNA from 1 species
GCAAGCUUGGCAGGAUAUGAACUUUUAACAAAAAUGGGGCACAGUUGUACUGCCAUGGCUUCUCGGUUUGAUCGGGGAGCAGAAAGACUUGGUGUUACGGAAUAGAACAAUGCAGAGAGGUGGAAAGAAUGUAAGACCCAGAGAAUGAGGAGUGCUGUGAAAUGCUGUCUCUGGGGCAUGACAUGGCCAUUGCAUCCAUGAGCUCCUUGCAGCUGUAACUGCCUGCACAAGAUCAAGUCAGCAUUCCAACAGCUAUGGCCUGGCAGCAUAAAGACUAUAACAGUGACAAAUUCAAGAAGAGGAGGAAGAGGAAGAAAAAGAAGAGGAGGCAGAGAAAGAAAGGAGGAAGAAGAGGAAGAGGAAGAAAAGGUAGAAAGGAGAAGGGGACUCACUACAGCAGCCACCUUCUGAGUCAGCUCCUCCAGGGACGCAAGCUGAAACCCAGGUGUCUUCUAGCUGAGCGGUUGAACGCUGGCUGGGGUGGGGUGGGGGAGGCACACGACACGAACGGUCGGACGGACAGACACGCAGGUGUUCCUGCGACCAGCUCUGUGCUGUGUCCAGUGUGAGCAAAUGAAGGUCUAUAGGCAGAGAGGGGUAGGUGUCCAGUGAACUUAGUCUUUCCUUGAUGGUACAAAAGUGUUCUAAGCGGUAUAGAAGCACAGAUUUAUCUUCUGUUACUAGGAUGACAAUCAUAAUAAUAGUCAAAAUAUGAAGGGGUAGGCAGACUACUAAAUAUUAUGAGUUUUUAUAUUCAUG